CAGACGCUUGCUGGAGAAAACCCGGAUCCAGGAUCCGAUGUGGCCUGGAUCAGGAUUCCCCGAUCCCAGAUCCAACUCGUGGCUUUUUGGUAAUGACGUCAUUCUUUCGAGACGUAUGGAGACGUACACACAAAACAGCCGUCUGAGCACAAAGGACAGAUUGAUGUUACAGAGGUAAUCAAGCUGCCAAUCGGAGACAGAAAAGGAAGGGAAAUUUGUGAUAUCAGCUUGAUCCAACACCAGGGUUUUAUCAGAGCUUUGACUGGAGUCAGGAUGUUGUGUGGCUGUCAAUGCAAAGGUCAACACAAAACAGAGAUGGUCAAAGGCUACUCUGGAGGAAGGAAAUUGAUUGGACUUAAUCGUGACAUGCUAUUCCAAAGAAAAGGAAACGCAGUCGAUUUGAGUCUAAACACCGAGGGAGUGAAUCGCUGCUCUAAGGCACACACGGACAGACCUGAACGAAGUCAUAUAAUAGUCCUGCUCCAUACUGUUGAAAAGAGCAACAUUUCUAUAAAUACGUAUUAUGAACAGGUUAAUGCCAAGGCUUCAGCUGUUCAGGAAAUUGAGUACUUUUCAAACAGCUGCUGGCUAAGAGGUUUGAUUCCUGCACUUCAGCAGUCCAAGAAGUACUUGACCAAAACAUCUUAGGAUUAUUUAGACGACUGGCUAAAAGCCUCCAACACCGUUUUUUUAUUUAUUUAUUUUUUUUAUCAUUUUGUGACAAAAAAACAACGUUUAAAUCCUGUUAUUGACUGACUGUGAGGCUGCAGCAGAUCCCCGUCAGUGUCAGACAUGUUACACUAUAUAAAAUUCUGAUAGUUAUUUUACAUUUCAUUUUUUAUAUCUCCUGUUUUAGAAUAGGAGACAUAUGUUUCCUAUUGUUUAGAAUAUUUAUCUGCCGUCAUCGGCGGCGUUGCUAGCCAGCCUGCACAUUCAAGGCAGGCUCUGCUGUGGGUGGAGGAGCUGAAGUACAGCGGAGAGCAGAGGGAAGGUGGGUGCAGAGAUCUGCGUUGGACCAACACCAAUCCACAGACUGACAUCUAUCACAUAUAGGUCUCAUGAAAUUACUCAUACCGCUUAAGCUUUUUCCACAUAUUUCCCGUUACAGCCACAAUAUCCAGUGCAUUUUAGUGAUCAGUCAAUAACUGUAAAGCAGAAAGUCAAAAAAAUU